ensembl:misc_RNA Y_RNA Y RNA
GGCUGGUCUGAUGGUAGUGGGCUAUCAGAACUUAUUAACAUUAGUGUCACUAAAGUUGGUAUUCAACCCCCUCACUGGUAAAUCUGAGUGGCUAAAA